GAGAUCUCUUCAUUCAUACAUUCAGGUACCUGAAUCUCUCAUGAGAUUUUAUGAAGCGUUAUCUCAUGUGAUCUUCUAGAGCACUUGCCUCCUUAUUGUGAUCACUUUGAUCAUUUGAUCAUCUUCUUUACUAAGAAGUUCUUUGAAACCGAUUUGUCUAUACACUUUAAGCGUAUCAAAGACUUUGUCCUUCUAGGACUUAAU
rnacentral:lncRNA from 1 species